AAUACCUUGUUUUUCAUCUCCUUAUGGGGUAGUUUCAUUACCACACGCUGUCAGAAAGUCUCACUGAAGUCUUUAGUGUGCUUCAAGCAGAAUUCUGAAAUGAGGUGGUCCAGAGUAUAGCUGUGGAAGUAAUGAAGAGCUAUAAAUACAUAUGUUUUAAGCCAGGGUCAAAAUACUCAAGGAUCAUAAUAAAAGAUGAAUGUAUUGCAAUUAAGUAUGCCUUCUUUAAAAAAAGAUAUCCUGUAAGAAGUAGCUACCUAAAACUACAAAUAAAUAAAUGAAUAGCUGUGCUGGAAGUUGCAAUUAUUUAGCGUAGAACUAGAAUGCAUUAUUUUUAAACAGUGAGAACAACUGAACACUCAUAAGCAUUCAAACACAUAACCAGCAACAGCAGUGGAUUCUCUACCACGAACAAUAAUUCUCAAAAGUAUCUGUUAGCCAAAGUAAAAUUAUUUCUUGUAAAUUCUAUGUUUUAAGAUAUGAAAAUAAUUAGACUGCUCUAAUGGCAUUUUCUGAGCUCAGUCUAGAAUCUACUUACUGACUUGUUGCUUUAUUAAUUCCUUUUUUUGGGUCAAUUUCCUGUAAAACAUACAAACAAUCUAUUUCCAUGGGUUUCUAGGCACAGCCUGGAAAUAUGACACAGAUACUAGCUUGCUAAGACAGUUAAUAAUUUUCUCUCUAUAUUCUCAUCCUAAGAAAUGUACCAUAUUAUAUCCCUUCACACUCAGUCAUUUGCAACCAGUGUAUACCACUUGAGACUCUUCUUAUGCAAACACUUAGGUUUAAGUAUUUAACUGCUACCAAAUCUCUUCCUUGCUUCCUCUGUCUAGACAACCUGUGUCAGUACUACAUCUGUAUGCAAAAUAAGUAGCUGACCCCUUUUGAUUUAAAUUUCAAGCUAAACUGCUGUAGAGAGCCUAUGAUGGAUGCAGAAUAAAUCAGCUGUUUAAGAAAGCAAUAGAUGUCUGCUCUCAUCUCCUUGAGUGAUGCUGAUCUAACGCCUGUAUUCUAAAAUCGCUGUGAGGAUCUCCCAUGUGGCAAAAGGCAGCCAGCACGGACAAUGAGUGGGCUCACUGCUUUCAGCCUUAUGAUUAUACAAUUAUCUGUCUGAUACACUGUUUCGGAAUUGUCUGAGCUGGAAACCUGCUGAAAAAUGUGUCCAAGCACAUCACAAAGCAAUGCUUGCAAUUUGUAGUUUACCGCCUGUACUGCUGACAGUUUAGAGAUCAAAUAAUGAAGUGUGAGGGGUGUGCUGAUCACUGCCGACCUCGUUAUGUUACAUUUCAAGAAGAGAUGUGCAGCAGACUCACAACAUCCAACACCGCUCAACAGCUCAUUAAUCAGCAGCCUGCUGAUCUCUUGUCCUCUUUGCUAUUCCACUCAGCUAGAAACUAUGUUUAUACAGGAGCUCUCAAGGAAGUUGUUUCUAUAAAGGAGACAAAUACCUGUCUGGUCCUUCUUCUGGCUGCGGAAUGUGCUCGUCGCCAAGCCCAGAUAAGGCUCUCUGGAUAAACAGACGUUCCUCUCAAAAGCAAGAAAUAUGAGAAACCGCAUAACCAUCUACCUUCUUGAGUUCAACUAGGAUCCAAUGCAAAAUCUCUCUGGGAGGAUUUAAACAUGAACAUGCGAACAUGCAGGAAUUUCACAGUAAGAAAUAUUACUGACCAGACAACAUGACAGGGAGCCAGUGCCUCAUUUCUGUGUGGUUUUCCAGUUCCUUCUUUUUUCUUUCCUUUUUCUUUUUAUCUUAUAGAACCCAUUCACUUUGUGUACUUAUUUCAAUUAAAAACAAAACAAGAAAACCACACACGCACAAGACUUUUUUUUUUUUCUUAGAGGUGGAAAACAAAGUAAUUAUUUUGUCCUGGUAAAUCUACCAAUGAAUAUAUGAAAAAAAAGGUCAUUUGUUAGAAGUGAUACACCCAGCAUGGUAUACGAUAGUAGAAAUUAAUUUUCUUGCUACGAUUUUUUAAUAAUGUAUUACUUGUAAGACUUCUGUGCUCAGCAGUCUCAACUGAAAUCAAAGCUCUGUCACUUCAGAUGCUCCUUAAAGCUAAAGUGGGGGGUGAUGGGAAAUAGAAGCUGAAGGUGAGUAAUGGACUUACAACCACAGUAAUGGUUUUUCACGUCACUGACAUUUAAAAAUUCAUUAAAUAAAAUAAUUCUGCCUGCAGAAGGAUAAUUAACUGGCCAUCUGGGCAAUGGCUAGUAAAAAAAAAGAAAGAAAGAAAAGGACAACCAACCACAAAAACCCACCACAAACAGAAUGAUUCCUGUGCAUUAUAUCAAUAUUUUCUACUCACAGGGGGAAAUGUUAGGUCAAGUCUCGAUGAAAUGGGCAGAAUUUCUAGCUCUUCAAAUUCAGAUAGUGCUCUAUCACAAUUAAUACAUAACUGGCUUUCUAUUUUUUUUCCACUUCUACAUUGAAAACAUUGGCCGAUUUUUCACACACACCUGCUGAUGAAAUUAGAAUUGGUGCUAUCUUUAGAUGCUUGAUGUUAAAUUAACAAUAUUUCCAAUGUGCUCUUACAGUAAACGCAAACAAAGUGUCUCUACCUGACUACCCACCUGAUGGCUUCCUUCCCAUUUGUCCUUCUGACUAUUAACCAAAGCACUAUUUAGAAUGUUUAUAGCAAUUAUAGCAAAACCAAGUGAACACCCUCAGUAUUUUCCAUCCAUUUUGAUCAAGAACAAUGCAAAAACUGUGUAACGGGAGAAAGCCAGCACGGAAUCCAAGUGCAUUUGCUUACACACAGCCUGCUCCACAAAUCCAAAAUCCAUUUUCAGUCUUGUACCUUGCAACUUUCCCCCUGCAGGAAAGCAUCUCCUCACCUCCAACUUCUUAUAGCCUUCCACAGUAAUGAAUAAACAAGAUAUAAAAGUGAGCAUAUACACACUUAAAUCAGUAUAUAAAGCAUCAGUGAGGUAAGCAGCUGUUCUUUACAGUCCCAAGUCUGCCCUCCGUGGAGGCUAAGAAUGGAGGGAAGUGAAGGAACGAGUUUAAGCAGCCCAUCAGACUUGUCUCCUCCGUUUGAAAGCAGCCAGCAGGCAGGGACAGACAGCUGAAGGCAGGAGAACAUCACCCACUUCUUGCCUAGUCUGCUGCACACAAUAGGUUACUUUAAUUUAAUGAUGCCCUACUUUUAAGGGAGAGAAGAGGCUACUCAAUUUCAAAAUGGAUUGCUGAAUUAGACAGCAGUGGCAGCUUCUAAAUUCAUCACCGGGUAAUGUGAUAUAGUGAUACCAUGGUGUACAUCAUACUUCACACACAAGACAAACCCUUCAUGAAAGGGCAGAACACUGCAGAGCAUCCCAAAUUUUCAUUCCCUGUCAGUAUGUCAGUAUAUGCUAGAGGUGAAUAUACAGCUUGGGAAGGGGAGUGCUAUUUUCAGCAGCCUUUAUCAAAAGUCAGGAAGCCUCAUUUGAACAAGAAACAUCAUCUGUCGAUGCAGGAAAGAGAAUGAAUGAUAAUAUUUGUUUAAAAACUGUCAAGGAAUGAUUCAACAUUCAUCAGCUCACUUCGUUCUCAUUAGCAAUAUUGAAAUAUCCAAUUUAGAAACCUUUCACUUUUCCUUUUUAGACGAUGGUAUGUUUUUAAACUUGUUUUAUGGAGAAUAAUCAGUAAUAAUACUUCC
ensembl:lncRNA